rnacentral:rRNA from 1 species
AUUGAGCGCUGGCGGCAUGCUUUACACAUGCAAGUCGAACGGUAACAGCACUUCGGUGGCUGACGAGUGGCGAACGGGUGAGUAAUACAUCGGAACGUGCCUAGUAGUGGGGGAUAACUACUCGAAAGAGUAGCUAAUACCGCAUGAGAUCUAAGGAUGAAAGCAGGGGACCUUCGGGCCUUGCGCUACUAGAGCGGCUGAUGGCAGAUUAGGUAGUUGGUGGGAUAAAAGCUUACCAAGCCGACGAUCUGUAGCUGGUCUGAGAGGACGACCAGCCACACUGGGACUGAGACACGGCCCAGACUCCUACGGGAGGCAGCAGUGGGGAAUUUUGGACAAUGGGCGCAAGCCUGAUCCAGCAAUGCCGCGUGCAGGAUGAAGGCCUUCGGGUUGUAAACUGCUUUUGUACGGAACGAAAAGCCCUCUUCUAAUACAGGAGGGUCAUGAAGGUACCGUAAGAAUAAGCACCGGCUAACUACGUG